UUUUUUUUUUAUAAAUACCGUGUGGCCAAUAUAUGAGCCACAUUAAAUGCAAGCCAUAGAUUAAAUGCUGUUUUACAGACUAGUGAAAUAUACAAUUAACAAGAUACACAUGGAAAUGAACAAAUAUUUAUAUAUACAUGGAAUGUUUAAACAUUUUAAAACAUUUUAUACUCAAUGAAAGAUUUGUAAUAUAUAGCUACAUGUACAAUAAGAUGAAAAACUUCUAAAUUGUGAAAGGAAUAAAUUACAGAACAUAGAAAUAUUUUCCUUAAGUGUUUUUAUAGACCACAUUUUUGUGCACUAUUUUCUAAAAAAAUUCAAAGUAAAAUGAAAGGUAGGUCAUUUGAUACUGAACCUUCUGUUCAAUAUCUAAAUGGGAGCCUUCUUGUAUGUACAUGUAUAAUCAAAAUAAGGGGAGAUAAUGACAUCUACUUUAUGUUUGAUGAAUUUCUUCAAAAACACUUUUUGUCACAACAAUAACCUGGAUGUUGAUUUAAAAAUACAUUGUUUAUCAAAUAUAAUUUUCUCAAUUAAUGUUAAAAAACAUGAUUAUAGAGGCAUAUAGGAUUAAAAAAAAAAUAUAACACAAAAACAAGUAAAGAAGCAUUCUGUAAUAUACAACAGGUUGUUUAUAAUAAUGUUUACACCAAAUAUGAAUAAAUAAAUACUAACAUUUAUCCAAUAAUAAGGUUUUAUAAAGUAAGAUCUAAAAACUUUU
rnacentral:lncRNA from 1 species